rnacentral:tRNA from 1 species
GAGGGCAUAGCUCAGUGGUAGAGUGCAUGCUUAGCAUGCACUAAGUCCUGGGUUCAAUCCCCAGUACCUCCC